rnacentral:rRNA from 1 species
CCUACGGGCGGCAGCAGUGAGGAAUAUUGGACAAUGGACGAGAGUCUGAACCAGCCAAGUAGCGUGAAGGAUGAAUGCCCUAGGGGUUGUAAACUUCUUUUAUAUGGGAAUAAAAUGUUGCACGUGUGGGAUUUUGUAUGUACCAUAUGCAUAAGGAUCGGCCAACUCCGUGCCAGCAGCCGCGGUAAUACGGAGGAUCCGAGCGUUAUCCGGAUUUAUUGGGUUUAAAGGGAGCGUAGGGGGAUUGUUAAGUCAGUUGUGAAAGCUUGCGGCUCAACCGUAAAAUUGCAGUUGAGACUGGCAGUCUUGAGUACAGUAGAGGUGGGCGGAAUUCGUGGUGUAGCGGUGAAAUGCUGAGAUAUCAGGAAGAACUCCGAUGGCGAAGGCAGCUCACUGGACUGCAACUGACGCUGAGGCUCGAAAGUGUGGGGAUCAAACAGGAUUAGAUACCCGAGUAGUC